CAUCCAAUUUUUGACCUCCACAAAUCAACAUUACCCCACCAGCAUCUUCCACUAAAUAGCAUGACUACAGUCAAUCAGUCUAAAUUCUAAACAUUUGUUGCUAAUUUGGGGAUUUGGCUUCGUUUUUGGAGAGAGAGGACUGAGUGAAAGAUUGAUAUGGGGAUUUGGGAUUAUAUUUCCUCUACAAGCAAUUCGGCGAUACAAAACGCACCUGAUCUAACGGCUGUGAAGGGGUGGUGUUCGAGCUCUUAUGGUUACAGCCGGGCUGCUGUUGCCAAGGUUGAUGACGCUGUUAGGACGAAGGUGAUCUAGUCCAUGCAAGACGAGGAAGCCCGUUCCAAGAUCGGUCAGAUUGCGGCCAACUUCGCUAAAAGUGCCACAGU